rnacentral:lncRNA from 10 species
CUCCAGGUUGAAACGAUGGCGGUCAGAACCGCCUGAGCUAAAUGCAAGAUGGUAUGGCAUCCAGACUCUGCUCAUAAGUAUCUGCAGUGAUCCAUACCUUGAUUGUACAUCUACUCUGCAUCCUGAGGACCUGAACAUGCUAACUGGUGGCUGCAGAUUUGUCUUCUAAGGAGCAAGUGUGGUCUGUGGACAGGCAGCUUCAGCCUCACCUGGGAUUUUGUUUGCACUAGAAAGUGCCAAGCCCUACCCUAGACCUAUUAAAGCAGAACUGGCGUUUAACAAGACACCCCAGAAUUAUGAAAACUAAAGCUAUUUACAGCUUUUAACAAUUGAGUAAAGUAUACUGUUACCAGAAUUGGGAGCAUAUUUGUUUCUCUCUACCUGGUUUCUCCAGAAUUUGGAAACUAUUUAGUCACUGAAAACUAAGCUGUGUUUUCUUAAAACCCUGCAAACUGAAGCCAGACAACUUGAACUUCAGAAGAAAAUAACAGCAACCUAUUUACGUACAUAAGCCACUUUCAUACCUGCCUACUAAUGUAUGGACUUCAGAGUAAUGUGGCUUAUAUCGAUUUUUCUAGGAUUGUUCUUUUGUUUGUUGUUGUUUUUUCUCCCUUCCUCCCUGCUAUUUUCUCUUCACAGAAUGUGAGACUUCACAACCUACUAAAAAUGAGCUUUUGGGACUUACCCAUCUAGGAAUAAACCAUCAUAGCUAUGAGAAAUCAGAU